UACCUUUUCUGGCGAGGGUUCUGAAUGGCCUGAGUUCUUUCAGCUUUAUAAUUCAUUAGUCCAUGAAAACAAUGAACUAGCACCCAUUCAGAAGUUUCAACUUUUAAAAUCAUAUUUGCGAAAUGAUGCUCUAUCUGUCAUAUCUGGUCUUCAACUGUCAAAUGAAAAUUAUGCUCUAGCCUAUAACGCUUUAAAACGUUUAGUUCAGUUUGUUGAGCUCAAUCACUCUGCUUCUGGAGCGUGAGUACAGUACAGAUCCAUUCGUAAAGUUCGACCAUUUGAAGGCGAAUGGGGUUAGAAUAACACCCAGCACUGAUGGAAGAUCGGCAAAAGUGAAGGCGAAUAGAUACAGUCGGCCAAGAUCCAUCCCGAGUUGUAGAACCAUGGAAUUCUCGCAGUCCCAGUUGACUCCAAUAAGGGAUGAUUCCCUUAGCUCAGGAAAAGGUUGUUCCAAGAGUGGGAGUGGUUGAUAAAAAGCCUGUAUUCUGUGCUGACUUCAACAAUAUUGUAACGGAAGAGAAGAAGCCUAAAAAUUCAUAAAAUUUGGAAUAAAUUCAUAAAUAAUA